rnacentral:rRNA from 1 species
CACAGUUUUGGUCCUAAACUUACUGCUACUUUUAAUCAAAUUUACACAUGCAAGCAUCCACACACCAGUGAAAUACGCCCUAACACAGUAUAAACGGAGCAGGUAUCAGGCACAACCACCAGCCAAAAACACCAAGCUUUGCCACACCCACACGGGCCAUCAGCAGUGAUAAACAUUAAGCAAUAAGCGAACACACCAAACUAAAGCUUGACUUAGUUAUGAUUAAUAGGGCCGGUAAACCUCGUGCCAGCCACCGCGGUUAUACGAGGGGCCCAAAACAGCAGACUCUCGGCGUAAAUAGUGGCUAGAAUAAUUACCACUACAUUAAAAACUAAACCAUAUCCUAACCGUAAAACAUAGGCUAAAUGAAAUCAAACACUUUUAAUAACAGGUAGUUUGACCCACGAAAACUAAGAAACAAACUAGGAUUAGAUACCCUACUAUGCUUAGUCGUUAAUAUGAUAUUAUAAUACUAAAAUAUCCGCCAGAAAACUACGAGCGAAAAGCUUAAAACUCAAAGGACUUGGCGGUGCUCCACACCGACUUAGAGGAGCCUGUCCUAUAAUCGAUACCCCACGCUAAACCUCACCAAUCUUUGCCAAAUCAGCCUAUAUACCGCCGUCGUCAACCCACCUCAUGAGAGAAAAACAGUGAGUACAAAAGUUUAAUAACUAAAACGUC